AAAUGUUUUUCUAAACUAGCUACCUAGAGAAGAUUUGGUGGAGUUUUACUUCUAAGGAUUUUUGGAAGUGGAGCAGAAUACUACACUAAGGAGAAUCUUGAUGCAGGGAUAGAAAGUGAGGACGAUGGUCCUUUUACUGGUUUUGAUGGUUGAUAGACCAUCUGCUGCAGGAUUUAUGCUUACUCUAUGGAGCAAGUCUCAUUUAUGUUAAUCGC